rnacentral:rRNA from 1 species
CAGUAGCCGCGGUAAUACGGAGGGGGCUAGCGUUGUUCGGAAUUACUGGGCGUAAAGCGCACGUAGGCGGCUUGGUAAGUUAGAGGUGAAAGCCUGGAGCUCAACUCCAGAAUUGCCUUUAAGACUGCCGAGCUAGCAGGUGAGAGAGGUAAGUGGAAUUCCGAGUGUAGAGGUGAAAUUCGUAGAUAUUCGGAAGAACACCAGUGGCGAAGGCGGCUUACUGGCUCAUACUGGACGCUGAGGUGCGAAAGCGUGGGGAGCAAACAGGAUUAGAUACCCGAGUAGUCCCUGUCUCUUAUAA